rnacentral:sRNA from 1 species
AGUCUAGGUACACAUCUGACCAAGAUCUUGACUAACAUAAGUUUGGAAGCUCUCUACACUGAAGAAGGAUUUCCUACUGAAGGUCUAGACAGAGACAUCCACUUCUAUUAUGAAUCAGGAAGCUCCACCAGUGCUUGUCCUAACGGUAGGACUUCCAUUAUCAGCUUACGCUGUGAACCAACCAAAACUGGGAAUGGUGAAAUCUUACUUCC